CCUGCUCACUGAUAAAGAUUAAAGAGCCGCGGUAUACUGACCGUGCAAAGGUAGCAUAAUAAUUAGGUCUUUAAUUGAGAUCUUGUAUGAAUGGUUGGACGAAGUAAACACUGUCUCUACUUUAAUUAUUGAAAUUAAUCUUUAAAUAAAAAAGUUUAAAUGGUUUAAAAAGACGACAAGACCCUAUAAAGUUUAAUACCUUACCUUAUUAAUUUUAAUUUAGUAAUAAAUGGUCUUUAAUGUAAUGGUAUUUUGUUGGGGCGACAAGAGUUAAAUGAAACUUAACUAUUCUUAUUGUAUACAUUUAUAGGUGAUUGGAAGAUCCUGUUACUACAGAUUAUAAGAAUUAAUUACUUUAGGGAUAACAGCGUUAUUUUUUUUAAGAGUUCCUAUUGAAGAAAAAGAUUGCGACCUCGAUGUUGAAUUAGAUGUCUAUAUAGCGUAGGUGCUAUAAGCAGAAAGUCUGUUCGACUUUUAAAUAUUUACGUGAUCUGAGUUCACACCGGA
rnacentral:rRNA from 1 species